ensembl:lncRNA
CUGGCAGUGAACAACCGUGAGAGGUCCUGCUCAGCCAUUGGUCAGUGCCACAGUAGCCACCGCCCCCUCCUCCACCAAAUGAGCAACUGGCAGUGAACAACCGUGAGAGGUCCUGCUCAGCCAUUGGCCAGUGCCACAGUAGCCACCGCCCCCUCCUCCACCAAAUGAGCAACUGGCAGUGAACAACCGUGAGAGGUCCUGCUCAGCCAUUGGUCAGUGCCACAGUAGCCACCGCCCCCUCCUCCACCAAAUGAGCAACUGGCAGUGAACAACCGUGAGAGGUCCUGCUCAGCCAUUGGCCAGUGCUGCCGUGGGCCCCUCCCCCAGCAAGCCACUGUCAAGGGGAGACUGUUACUGGGCACAUUCAACCAGCAGUCGGGGAGUGGUGGUCCUCAGGUGGAGAGUGAGAGUUCAUCCAGAAGAUGUCUAACUGGAGCGAGAGACAGACAUCUCAGUCCUGGGGUGUCCUCCCCACUCCUGGCAUCUGUAUCGCCUCCAGCAUCCAAGCUGGUCUAGAGUCAGCCCCUUUAAGAAUGCCAUCCAUAUGAAAGUUCAGUCAACUAUGCUGUCAACACCUGAUGCUUUUUAAAUGCUGGGGUCCAAGAGGAUUCUAACUGAGGAGCGAGAGAAAGACUGUUCGAAGGUGCUACACACACAGCCUGCACAGUGACUCAUACAUCACAGACACAUUCAAUAACGUGGAUCAUUUCUACCCUAGAACAUUCCUCUGGGGACGAGUCCUAGGUCUGCUUGGAAGAUGCCUUUGAGCACUCAUAGCUGGGAUAAACUGGAGUCACAGGGUCUGAGGCCAGCUUUGGUUAUUUGGCUUUGACUGACAGCUGGGAUAGUCUGGAAUGAAAGGGAGUUGAUGAAACUAUACUCCCGCAGCAAAAGACUGUGAAGAAAGCUGAACACUGAAGAAUUGAUGCUUUUGAACUGUGGUGUUGGAGAAGACUCUUGAGAGUCCCUUGGACUGCAAGGAGAUCCAACCAGUCCAUUCUGAAGGAGAUCAGUCCUGGGCGUUCUUUGGAAGGAAUGAUGUUGAAGCUGAAACUCUAGUACUUUGGCCACCUCAUGCAAAGACUUGACUCAUUGGUGAGGACUCUGACACUGGGAGGGAUUGGGGGCAGGAGGAGAAGGGG